AUCCAGCUGACGAGUCCAAAAUAGGACGAAACACGCGUCUUCGUUAGAU
rfam:Schistosoma margrebowiei strain Zambia genome assembly, scaffold: SMRZ_scaffold0002763